rnacentral:rRNA from 1 species
ACGAACGCUGGCGGCGUGCUUAACCCCUGCCAGUCGAACGGAAAGGCCCUGCUUUUGUGGGGUGCUCGAGUGGCGAACGGGUGAGUAACACGUGAGUAACCUGCCCUUGACUUUGGGAUAACUUCAGGAAACUGGGGCUAAUACCGGAUAGGAGCUCCUGCUGCAUGGUGGGGGUUGGAAAGUUUCGGCGGUUGGGGAUGGACUCGCGGCUUAUCAGCUUGUUGGUGGGGUAGUGGCUUACCAAGGCUUUGACGGGUAGCCGGCCUGAGAGGGUGACCGGCCACAUUGGGACUGAGAUACGGCCCAGACUCCUACGGGAGGCAGCAGUGGGGAAUAUUGCACAAUGGGCGGAAGCCUGAUGCAGCAACGCCGCGUGCGGGAUGACGGCCUUCGGGUUGUAAACCGCUUUCGCCUGUGACGAAGCGUGAGUGACGGUAAUGGGUAAAGAAGCACCGGCUAACUACGU